UGACCAAAUAAUUUAUGAUAUCAGGAUACGAAACACUCGGAUAGUGUACGAUAUCCUCACUACAAUCGCCUUUUUUUAACGUGUAAGGGUCGAAACCACAGAUCUUUACUUUUUCAUGAUAUCUGGCUUUUGUGGGACCAGAUAAAGUUGAAUAAUACUCUGAAAAUGUGAGAGACUCUGAAGAAUUUGAGGACGCGGACGCCAUUUUGUCGCUUUGUUUAUCCACCAGACGAAUCGCUUGUGUGACGUCAUGGGUUUUGACGUCACGGGUUGAAAACGAAGAAUAGUCGCUUCAACCGACUAACCGGGGAAGGGGGAAGUUCAUUUAAUCGCGUAACUGCCGUAACUGCUCAAACAAUCUACUCUGUAGGGGUCGUGAAGGGUUAAAAGUUUUCAAUGUUUGAUGAUCGGCCAUUGAUAUUUGUUUCGCUUGCGGGGCUCUUUCUUCUACAUUGCUUCUAUGACAUGAUUCUGAGGAACUAUUGACCAAAACUGCCCCUCGUUGGAGAUGGGAGGAAAGCAAAGCGUUUGUUCUGUGCGUGCGUUUCGUCAACAGCGGUCUAAACGCCGCCAUUUUAAAUGAAAUGUCUGAGGUACACAAAUGGCUACUGUACUUGCGUUUUGCGAUGGUUUUAAUAAGCUUAUUCGCCCCUUCAAAGAGGUAUAUGUAUAAUUGUUGUGGUGCUUACAAUAUUGACACAAGAUGGGCAAAAAGAGCUCUCUAGGCAAGGAAUUUGUUUGGGAUGUUCUGGGGACACGUUCGAUCAAGUGGCUCCGAUCAAGUCACACUAUACAAUAUGUCAAAAGCUUGUAUUAAGCUUUUAAAGAGAAAGUAUGAAACACAACCGUGCAGGAAAUAACGUUUUCAUGGAUGGGAAAAUUGAAGAAGUACAGAACAAAUUAAUGAUCUCUGGUGGGUCAAGUCUCUUGUUGUCAGACACUACAAACAGUGCACAGCUUGACCAUGGUUCACAUUGUUUACAAAGAAUACCCAUGAAUGAUACACAGUGCUGAAAUCAAAUUUAUCUUUGUUAUGGAAUUCCCACAAUUUCUGGACAGGAAUACAAAGCUCACAAGGUUUUUUAAAGUGUUAUUUUUACUAGAAGCACAGGAAGCCCAAGCCAGAACUUUGAUGAGAAAAUAGAUGAUUGUACAUAAAAUAAAAAGUUAUAAAACAAACUAUUGUAUAUUUCUCGACAUAAUUGUUUUGUAUGGUCAACUUACCAGCUGAAUUAUUAAGAUACAAAUUUGUAGAGAAAUAUGCGUCAUGAAUAUUUAUAUAUAUAUUAUACCUUGCCCUGGCUACUCAUGUCAUUGAGCACGUUAUUUAAUUUUUUGGUAAAAAAAUUAAAAGUAUAUUAUACAUUUA